rnacentral:rRNA from 1 species
UACGAAGGGGGCUAGCGUUGCUCGGAAUCACUGGGCGUAAAGGGUGCGUAGGCGGGUCUUUAAGUCAGGGGUGAAAUCCUGGAGCUCAACUCCAGAACUGCCUUUGAUACUGAGGAUCUUGAGUCCGGGAGAGGUGAGUGGAACUGCGAGUGUAGAGGUGAAAUUCGUAGAUAUUCGCAAGAACACCAGUGGCGAAGGCGAGUCUCUGGACAUUUCCUGACGCUGAGGCACGAAAGCCAGGGGAGCAAACGGG